rnacentral:rRNA from 1 species
AUGGAGGUUCAGCUUACUCAUCAGCCCGAUCAGUUGUGUUGGAAGCUUACUAGAUCUGGGGAAUUCACAGUCAAGUCGAUGUACAUUGAUGUCAUCAACUCUAGUGUUAUUCCUAGUUCAAAACAUGUUUGGAAAGUUAAGGUUCCUCUGAAAAUCAAAGUGUUUAUGUGGUUUGUACAUAAACAAGUCGUUCUAACAAAAGAUAAUUUGAUUAAGCGCAACUGGACAGGUUCUACUAGGUGUAGUUUCUGUGAUCGGGAUGAAACUAUCCAGCAUCUUUUCUUUGAUUGCCCGUUGGCGAGAGUGUUGUGGCGCUCGGUGCAAAUUGCCUUUAACAUUACUUCUUCAAAUUCGGUCAGGUCGUUAUUUGGAACGUGGCUUGUUAGUAUAGAGGCCGAAACAGCUAGACAAAUUCGAGUAGGAGCGUGUGCGUUUUUAUGGGCAAUUUGGAACUGCAGAAAUGAUUUGGCUUUUAAUAGAACAACAACUAUUCAUUUUUUCCAGGUUUUAUUCCGGGCUACUGCGCUAAUCCAUAUGUGGUCCUUACUCACUCCGACGGAGGCCAGGGAGUGUUUGGUUACUGGAUCUGUCCGGUGGGAGAUGGUAGCGCGGGAUAUCUUCAACCGGUUUGGAUGGCGGUCAUGUAAUAGGAUAGGCGAUUAG